rnacentral:rRNA from 1 species
UACGUAGGGUGCGAGCGUUGUCCGGAAUUACUGGGCGUAAAGAGCUCGUAGGUGGUUUGUCGCGUUGUUCGUGAAAUCUCACGGCUUAACUGUGAGCGUGCGGGCGAUACGGGCAGACUAGAGUACUGCAGGGGAGACUGGAAUUCCUGGUGUAGCGGUGGAAUGCGCAGAUAUCAGGAGGAACACCGGUGGCGAAGGCGGGUCUCUGGGCAGUAACUGACGCUGAGGAGCGAAAGCGUGGGGAGCGAUCCGG